CGUUGACUUUUGACCUUGAAAAAUCGUUAUCUGGAAAGAUUCAAGGUGCGUUAUCAGUUUAAUCUCUUUGAGGACGAUAGGAACACAGGGUUAAGAGGUCACGUGGGUUACGCAAGCUAAAAAGAACC